GUGCCCCCCCCCGCGGUAAUACGGGGGCGGCAAGCGUUGUCCGGAAUUAUUGGGCGUAAAGCGCGCGCAGGCGGAUCAGUCAGUCUGUCUUAAAAGUUCUUUUUUUUACCCCCGUGAUGGGAUGGAAACUGCUGAUCUAGAGUAUCGGAGAGGGAAGUGGAAUUCCUAGUGUAGCGGUGAAAUGCGUAUAUAUUAAGAAGAACACCAGUGGCGAAGGCUAUUUGGGGGAGGAAAACUGACGCUGAGGCGCGAAAGCCAGGGGAGCGAACGGGAUUACAUACCCCGGUAGUCCUGGCCGAAAACGAUGGGUACUAGGUGAAGGAGGUAUCCACCCCCUCUGUGCCGGAAUUAACGCAAUAACUACCCCGCCGGGGGAUUAUUUUUUUAGUUUGAAACUCAAAGGAAUUGACGGGGGCCCGCACAGGCGGUGGAGUAUGUGGAUUAAUUCCACGCAAAGAAAAAAACCUUACCAUUUCUUGACAUUGACGGACAAAACUAAAGAUAAUUUCCUCCUUCUUCAAAAACACAAAAA
rnacentral:rRNA from 1 species